rnacentral:rRNA from 1 species
CGGAGGAUCCAAGCGUUAUCCGGAAUCAUUGGGUUUAAAGGGUCCGUAGGCGGCCUUAUAAGUCAGCGGUGAAAGUUUUGGCUUAACCAAAAUUGCCAUUGAUACUGUAGGGCUUGAAUAUUUGUGAAGUAACUAGAAUAUGUAGUGUAGCGGUAAAAUGCUUAGAUAUUACAUGGAAUACCAAUUGCGAAGGCAGGUUACUAACAAAUGAUUGACGCUGAUGGACGAAAGCGUGGGUAGCGAACAGGAUU